CGCGCGGAGGACAACUUUUAGCCGGCAGCCCAGACCAGCGCGGCACCUGUCUCCGGAGUCUCCACCGCUCCUCCCGAUUCAUCCCAGGGAAAUUCUCAAGAAUACGCUCUACAAAUCUACGUGCGCAUCAUUUUCACCUCGCGUCGCGCCCGGGAGGAAGGAACGAGGCAAGGAGCUAAAGCAGCGUGCGUUCAGCCCUGGGGCAUUUUAUUAAUGCUUUUACGAGUUAGAAGAGUUGGGAUAAUUUGCCAUCUGGAGUUUCUCUGCCUUGCUGAUCUGAGCUCAGACCUGCCAAUUUACCAGAGAUAAUUGAUAACACCCUGUAACAGCUGAGAGGAAAAUGGAAGAAACGGAGAUACUUUUAGUGAAGCAGAAUAAACCACUGAACAGCGUUGGCUGAAAAACAUAAGGGAAAAAUGAGGAAGCUGUGAGUACCAGUGGAAGGAACGAGCCAGGAAGAGGGACUGGAACCAUCUCAGAAGCCAUGCCCCUCAGGCUGGAACUUGCCCUGUCUCCUCGCAGAUGAGCUACCUCUUGUGUUUAAGAAUUAAAGGAAGAUGAGCUAGGAAUCAAGAAAUACGCAGAACUGAUUCCUGUCACUGGCGCCACCCUGCCACUUGCCCAGAGCUGUGGUAUAAAUUUUUUUAAUAGGCUGAAAUAAAAAUAUGAAUAGCAUUUUGGUAUUAAGCAUUAAAUUGAUAAAGGCUAUGAGAUACACCUGCUCUCAACCAUGUUAAUUUUUUAUUAUUGGUAUUAAUAAAUUAUUACUUACUAACAUAUUAACAAGAAUUGCAUUGAGAAACAAAGCAUCCACAGGCCAAAUCUUCUGAAUUUCAAA
rnacentral:lncRNA from 1 species